rnacentral:tRNA from 1 species
GCCUGGCUAGCUCAGUUGGUAGAGCAUGAGACUUUUUAUCUCAGUGUCGGGUUCAAGUCCCAUGUUGGGUG